rnacentral:rRNA from 1 species
CCCCGGUAAACGGCGGCCGUAACUAUAACGGUCCUAAGGUAGCGAAAUUCCUUGUCGGGUAAGUUCCGACCUGCACGAAUGGCGUAAUGAUGGCCAGGCUGUCUCCACCCGAGACUCAGUGAAAUUGAACUCGCUGUGAAGAUGCAGUGUACCCGCGGCAAGACGGAAAGACCCCGUGAACCUUUACUAUAGCUUGACACUGAACAUUGAGCCUUGAUGUGUAGGAUAGGUGGGAGGCUUUGAAGUGUGGACGCCAGUCUGCAUGGAGCCGACCUUGAAAUACCACCCUUUAAUGUUUGAUGUUCUAACGUGGACCCGUAAUCCGGGUUGCGGACAGUGUCUGGUGGGUAGUUUGACUGGGGCGGUCUCCUCCUAAAGAGUAACGGAGGAGCACGAAGGUUGGCUAAUCCUGGUCGGACAUCAGGAGGUUAGUGCAAUGGCAUAAGCCAGCUUGACUGCGAGCGUGACGGCGCGAGCAGGUGCGAAAGCAGGUCAUAGUGAUCCGGUGGUUCUGAAUGGAAGGGCCAUCGCUCAACGGAUAAA